GAUGAAGAACGUAGCGAAAUGCGAUAAGUAAUGCGAAUUGCAGAAUUUCCGUGAGUCAUCGAAUCUUUGAACGCACAUUGCGCCCACUGGUAUUCCGGUGGGCAUGCCUGUUCGAGCGUCAUUAUCCUCCCUCAAACCCCGGGUUUGGUGUUGGACCCAAGUUGUGUGAACAACUGGUCUCAAAGACAAUGACGGCGUCCGUGGGACCCUCGGUGCAACGAGCUUUUAGGAGCACGCAUCGAGUUGCAAGGACCUUCCGGGCCGGUCUCCUUUACCAUUUUACAAGGUUGACCUCGGAUCAGGUAGGAAUACCCGCUGAACUUAAGCAUAUCAAUAAGCGGAGAA
rnacentral:misc_RNA from 1 species